rnacentral:tRNA from 1 species
GGUUAUAGCUCAGUGGUAGAGCACUCGCCUCACACUUAUGAGGCAUUGGGUUCAAUCCUCAGUACCA